AUGAAGAAAGGACAUUUUGGCCAGAGCAAAGGUCGGCUUUGGGGAUUUUCCAUGGAGAUGGAAGAAGUAGUACGCCGUAUCAAGCUGGGUCCAGGCGGCGGCGGCGGAGGAGGAGGAGGAGCACGCCGUCGCAAGCUGGGUCCAGGCGGUGGAGGUGGAGGAGCCGACAUCAUCAGCGCCCUCCCGGAGGAUCUGCUUCUCCAGGUCCUCGUCCGCCUCCGCUGCGCCGGCGCCGCCGCGCGCACCAGCGUCCUCUCCCGCCGGUGGCGCGGCCUCUGGACCAGCCUCCCCGACCUCGUCUUCCGCGGCGUCGCGCUCGGCUCCCUCCAAGCGGCGCUGGCCUCGGUCCAAGCCGCGGCCGGGCCCGGGGUGACCCUCCUCGACAUGUGCGUUCCCGACGCGCUCCUACACUCCGUCCGCGAGUCCGACAUGCCCCCGCUGCUCCACGCCGCCGCGGCGCUCUCGCCGGUGGAGCUCCGCCUAGCCGUGGGGAAGGGCACGCAGCGCCUGUACCUGGAGGUGGAGGUGCCCCGCCUCCCCCGCGCCGCCUCGGUGGAGCUCCGAGGGCUGGAUCUCGUCUUCGCCGCCCCGCGCGGCAGCUGGCUGGGGUUCCCGGCGCUGGAGAGGCUCGCCCUCACCGGCUGCCGCGCCAACCUCACGGACCUGGUCCUCCGCUGCCCGCGCCUGCGCGUCUUCAGACUCAGGGAGGACCACGGCGCCCACCACAUGAACAUCAUCAUCAGAUCCUCGUCGCUGCAGGACCUGGAUGUGGACACCAGGAUCCCCUUCACCUACCGCAUUGACAUCAGGGCGCCCGCGCUCAAGCGAUUGGCCAUGUUGUUCAGCACCAGCGACAAGAUCAUUGUGUUGGUCUCCGUUUUGGCACCGAUGCUGGAGACGGUCUCAUGGCGCUGCACUUAUUCCACGGUGUCCGCCCGGCUUGGUCUUUGGGGCCUCUCCGCGGUGAGAUUACAGACGGCGGAGAACAAUGGGCAGCUUCCUCCUCAUGUCAAUGUCCUGUCGCUGUUCGCGGCUGCCGAUGAUUCAUAUGAUUUUCCAGAGGAAGUCAGCCUUAUGACGGAGAUAGAGAAACAUAUGGUUACCCAUUUCUCUGUUUUGGAGCUACAUGUCGAAACGUUGGGGCAUGUUUUUGGAGCAUUUGCAUUGCACAUCCUUGGAAUGGAUCAGAUUUCCACUGCUAUACAAAGCCUUAAAGUCAUCCUGCUGAGUUCAGAGGAUGAUGAAGCAUGCCCAGAGAAUUGCCCUUGUGAGGAGCCCAGUAACUGGAGAAGCCAAACUAUCUCCUUGACCAAUCUUGAAAAAGUGGAAAUCGAAGGCUUCCAAGGAGAAGGUCACGAGUUAGAUUUCUUGAAACUGGUAUUUAGAUGCGCACCAAUGCUGAAAACAAUGUCUGUGAGGCUGUCAGAUGAGGUCACAGCAAGUAACGACGAUUGCUGCAAGAAAAUACAUGACGUCUUCAAGAUGUAUCCUUUUGUGCAAUGCAAUGUGAUUGUGGAUCUUAGUCCUGAGUCAAGAGACAGCAGCUAUAGUGGUGCCUCGACAUGA
rnacentral:rRNA from 1 species